rnacentral:rRNA from 1 species
AUUGAACGCUGGCGGCAGGCUUAACACAUGCAAGUCGAGCGGGGUGAUGGUGCUUGCACUAUCACUUAGCGGCGGACGGGUGAGUAAUGCUUAGGAAUCUGCCUAUUAGUGGGGGACAACAUCUCGAAAGGGAUGCUAAUACCGCAUACGUCCUACGGGAGAAAGCAGGGGAUCACUUGUGACCUUGCGCUAAUAGAUGAGCCUAAGUCGGAUUAGCUAGUUGGUGGGGUAAAGGCCUACCAAGGCGACGAUCUGUAGCGGGUCUGAGAGGAUGAUCAGCCACCCUGGGACUGAGACACGGCCCAGACUCCUACGGGAGGCAGCAGUGGGGAAUAUUGGACAAUGGGGGGAACCCUGAUCAAGCCAUGCCGCGUGUGUGAAGAGGGCCUUAUGGUUGUAAAGCACUUUAAGCGAGGAGGAGGCUCUUUUGGUUAAUACCCAAGAUGAGUGGACGUUACUCGCAGAAUAAGCACCGGCUAACUCUGUGCCAGCCGCCGCCGUAA